UACGUAGGGGGCAAGCGUUGUCCGGAUUUAUUGGGCGUAAAGAGCGUGUAGGCGGCUAGGUAGGUCCGUUGUGAAAACUCGAGGCUCAACCUCGAGACGCCGGUGGAAACCGUCUGGCUAGAGUCCGGAAGAGGAGAGUGGAAUUCCUGGUGUAGCGGUGAAAUGCGCAGAUAUCAGGAAGAACACCCGUGGCUAAGGCGGCUCUCUAGUACGGUACUGACGCUGAGACGCGAAAGCGUGGGGAGCGAACAGG
rnacentral:rRNA from 1 species